UUAAGUCUUGACGAGUAAGAGGGUCGCGACGGUGAGCGCAGAAGGGUCAGGGCGAGAGCCUGCCUGGAGCCGCCGUUGGUGCAGAUCUUGGUGGUAGUAGCAAAUACUCUAGCGAGGGCCUGGAGGACUGACGUGGAGAAGGGUUUCUUGUGAACAGCCGUUGCACAAGAGUCAGUCGACCCUGAGCCCUAGGAGAAAUCCGAUGACGAUGGGUGGCUUGACAAUAUAUGCGCACACACAAGUAAAACGUGAUUUUGCUUUGUGUAGACAUAUUUCAAUCACAGACUGUGUCUGUCGUUUAGUUAUGCACAAAUGUGCUGCUUACGACUGAACAGCUCCUAUUGGGCAAAAGGGAAUCCGGUUCCUAUUCCGGAACCCGGCUGCGUAACCGCAUCUUUGCGGGCACUUGCUUGCGAGCGCUCGUCGGGGUAACCCAAACUGGCCUGGAGACGCCGGCGGGGGGUCUGGAAAGAGUUUUCUUUUCUUUAUAAGCGUUCGAGUACCCUGGAAUCCUAUAGCAGGGAGAUAGGGUUUGGAACGCGAAGAGCACCGCAGUUGCGGCGGUGUCCGGACCUUCCCCCCGGACCUUGAAAAUCCAGGUGAGGGCCACGCGGAAGUCGCGCCGG
rnacentral:rRNA from 1 species